rnacentral:rRNA from 2 species
UACGGAGGGUGCAAGCAUUGAUCGGAAUUACUGGGCGUAAAGGGCGCGCAGGCGGUUAGGAAAGUCAGAUGUGAAAUUCCGGGGCUCAACCCCGGAGCUGCAUUUGAAACUUCCUUUCUAGAGUUCAGUUAGGGAAAACGGAAUUCCACGUGUAGCGGUGAAAUGCGUAGAUAUGUGGAAGAACACCAGUGGUGAAGACGGUUUUCUGGGCUGAUACUGACGCUGAGGCGCGAAAGCAAGGGGAGCAAACAGG